rnacentral:rRNA from 1 species
CCUACGGGUGGCAGCAGUGAGGAAUAUUGGUCAAUGGGCGCGAGCCUGAACCAGCCACGUAGCGUGAAGGAUGACUGCCCUACGGGUUGUAAACUUCUUUUAUAAAGGAAUAAAGUGAGGCACGUGUGCCUUUUUGUAUGUACUUUAUGAAUAAGGAUCGGCUAACUCCGUGCCAGCAGCCGCGGUAAUACGGAGGAUCCGCGCGUUGUCCGGAUUUCUUGGGUUUAAAGGGAGCGUAGAUGGGUUGUUAAGUCAGUUGUGAAAGUUUGCGGCUCAACCGUAAAAUUGCAAUUGAUACUGGCAGUCUUGAGUACAGGUGAGGUAGGUGGAAUUCGUGGUGUAGCGGUGAAAUGCGUAGAUAUCACGAAGAACUCCGAUGGCGAAGGCAGCUUACUAAACUGCCACUGACAUUGAUGCUCGAAAGUGUGGGUAUCAAACAGGAUUAGAUACCCUAGUAGUC